rnacentral:lncRNA from 1 species
UGUUGUGGAGAGAUGUAUCGGGGUAUUGAAAAGCAAGUUCCGCUGCUUGCAGCACUUUCGGACACUGCUAUACAGCCCCGAUAGAGCAGCGCGAAUCAUUUAUGCAUGCGUUGCUCUCCAUAACAUUGCCUAGGACGCGGGUGACUGGACAUUGGAUGAUUAUGGUGGGGAAUUGCCACCAGCUGAGGAGCCAGGAGACAUCCAGGUGCUGGCACCGCACGACGUGUUCCUCAGAGGAAGGCAGCAGAGCAGCGCCGUUGUCAACCUUUUCUGAAGGACACAGGAAUGGUGCGCAGCGAUGUCUUGCGCUAUGGCACGCACCUGCUCCAGGAUCCCCUCCUGAGCUGCUGCCGUCCGCUCUGCCGCGACAGCGAGGCGGGUGGUGGAAGCUUCGAUUCUCCGCAGCACCUGGAAUGAAUAAUCAUGGUGGAACUGUUCGCAUGAGUUGCUGGUUACUCGCAACCAGCUUACGGCUGGAAGCUGCUGUUGUCAAGAAUUGCAACGUGCACAACGAUUCCCUCUCUGUUGAAGAGCCACUGGCCUGAUGGCAUCCUUUGGCAGUGUCAAGCGUCGUGUACAAGCUAUGCCCUCUUUGUUUGGACAGACAAACACCUGCUGGAACUACUCUUCCGUCAUCUACUCAAAUGCAUCUCUCACCACCAAACAGCCCUUUUCAGGGCUAACCAACCUUUUGCCCGGCGGCUGAUCUUUGGCAAGACACGAUACCGAGCCCUCUAUACAACGCAUAUUUCUUGUUUA